CGGGGCUGGAGCACACAAAAUCUACUAGCCUGGGCCCCCUAGGUUCUGAUGUGCAAGGGGAGCAUGGGGAGUUUCUUUCUCCUCAGCUGGGGGUUCAGUUUGGUUUUUUUUUUCUU
rnacentral:miRNA from 1 species